GGGUAAAUCUUGUUAGUGUAGUGUGAGUUAAAUAGGUUUGAUAUUUGAAGAAGCAAUGAAGUUAUAGGCUUAGUAUAUGUUAUAGAAAAGUUGGAGUUUAACUAGAGUGUAGUAGUAUUGUAGAAGAAAGAGGUAGUUGUUUUGAAGGAAAGAAAUUAUAGAGUGUUGUACCUUUUGUAUCAGGGAUAGUCAAAAUUGGAAGUUUAUUUGUUUUAAUCUCGAAGCAGAAAGAUCUAGAGUUUAAGGCAUGGUUAUGUGGUAAAAUAACAUGGAAUUUAAUUUUAGUAAUGAUAUUUUAGUCGAGUUUUGUAUAUCUAGUUCUUUUCGAAAGGAAUUUAAUUUCAUUUUUAUGUUUUGAGAGCAUAAGAUUAAAGAUUAAGAGGGAUAAGCUUCUUAGUGUUUGCUAUAAGAGUGGAGAGUUUUGUUUUUAAAUUAGGCUUAAGAGCAGCCAGAUUUAUAAAGCGUUCUAGUUAAUUUAUUGUUAAGGUGAAUUUAUAUGGUUUUUAGUGAGUUAGAAGAGAGUAAGUUGAAUUUAGGAAAAUUUAGUUAAAAUGAUUUUAUUAGUAUAUUUGUUUGUUAAAGGGUUGCAGUGAAAUACCUGUAGAGUAUUAAUUAGUUAAGAUGCGGAGAAGGAACUCGGCAAGUAUUAUUUUUGCCUGUUUAUCAAAAACAUGUCUGUAUGUAGUAUAUAUAGAGUCUGGCCUGCCCACUGAAAAUUUUUAAAGGGCCGCGGUAAUUUGACCGUGCGAAGGUAGCAUAAUCAAUAGUCUCUUAAUUGGAGGCUGGAAUGAAUGGUUGCACAAAAAAUAAUCUGUCUCAGCUGUAGGAGUAGAAUUUUACUUUUGAGUGAAAAGGCUCAAAUAUAUUAAGGGGACGAUAAGACCCUAUAAAACUUUAUAUAAUAAGUUUAAUUUUUGAAUUUUGGUGUUAAAGUGAAUUAGUCUUUAUUUAUUAUGUUGGGGCGACAAGAGUAUAAAUGAGUAACUGUUUGUAAAUUAAAAUAAGUAUGUUUAGAAAUGUGAUCCUUUUUUAGGGAUUGAAAGAAAAAGUUACUUUAGGGAUAACAGCGUAAUUUUUUCUGAGAGUUCUUAUCGACGAAAGUAGUUGCGACCUCGAUGUUGAAUUAAGAUUUCCCUGAGGGGUAGAAGUUUCAGUGGUGGGUCUGUUCGACCCUUAAAGUCUUACAUGAUUUGAGUUCAAACCGGUGUGAGCCAGGUUGGUUUCUAUCUUUUAAUUUUUUAUGGGCUAUCUUAGUACGAAAGGACCAGGUAGUUGGAAUAGUUUUUAAGGAAAGAAGAACAAUAAUUUU
rnacentral:rRNA from 1 species